CUAAAAGUGUACCUUGACUUAGUACAAUUGUCUUACAUGUUUUAUACAUUCUUUGGCCUAUAUCCUGGUUUUUACUUUGUGUAUAUGAUAAUUAUCUUUGUAAAGUCUUAUAAAUAAAUAAAUCUAAUGCUGGAAAAACAAAAAGGGGGAGGAAGGAAAGGGAGGGGCAGAAGGGAACUGAAAUGUGUCAUGUACUUGCGCCAGGCCCCUACAGUGAAUGGAAUCACUAGAUACUGCAAUAAUGAUAAAUAAGAAGAAGAAGAAGAGUUUAAAAAGACACUAAAACUAAACAAAAAAAUUCUAAGAUGCUCAAACUGGAACACUUACUUAACUACUUUUCUAGGAGUUACUGUGGCCACAGAGGUUGUUAGACAAUGAGGAGACCCUCCAGGGAGAAGUCAGAAUCUCCAGCACCAUCCUCACUCCAUUCCUCAUGACCAGAGUGACUGGGGUCUGUAUUCCCAAAGAAGUUUUGUCACUGGCUCACCAUCCUGAGCUUAGAGACAGGAAACUUCCACCCCAAUAUAAUAAUGGCCAGGAGGACAAAGACUUGGUGCCAAAGAUCUGGAAAAGGAUAACCGUGCUCACUCCUUUUAUGAGCGCACACCUCCUGGGAGAUGAGGAGCCUGCCUGCGCCAGGCACAAAGGAGGAAGGAAAGUCACUUGAAAUGGCAAAGUACAGAGAAAUAGAGAAGGCAAAGGAGCCUAACUUGAACUAGCAGGCAUUAAAGAAUUACUGCACAUCUUCCCUCAGACAUAUUGCAUGUUGAAGUCAAGGAGUGAGACGAAAAGCAAAGAGGAG
rnacentral:lncRNA from 1 species